rnacentral:misc_RNA from 1 species
GAAAUGCGAUACGUAGUGUGAAUUGCAGAAUUCCGUGAAUCAUCGAAUCUUUGAACACAAAUUGUACUUUCUAGUAAUCUGGGAAGUAUGCUUGGUUGAGGGUCAUUAAAAUAACAUUCGCGAAUUUUUUUCGCGGAUUUGAGUUUUCCGGCGUUUAUAAUAUAAAAAUGUCGGUGACUUUAAAAUUAUUUAUUACUUGGUACAAGUUGAAAACGUACUAUAUGUGUGGUUCGCUGACAACUUGUCCAUCUUCAUAUAUUAUGCGCACUUGGUUUUUUAUGCAUUGUGCGAGUAUAUAUAUAUUUUCUUAUGACCUCAGCUCAAGUAAGAAUACCCGCUGAACUUAA